GUGAUUGCAGAAUUCCGCGAAUCAUCGAGUUUUUGAACGCAACUUGCGCCCGAGGCUUGACCGAGGGCAUCUCUGCCAGAGCGUCACC
rnacentral:rRNA from 1 species